GAGGAUUUCAGUGAUGUAGUAUUCACUGAUGAGACAACCAUCGAAAUGUCAUCAAGUGGAACGUUUCAAUUUUACAAAGUUGGCAGUACUAUAGCAAGCUUGCCAAGAAAAUGUGCAAAACCUAAACAUGCAUACAAGGUCCAUAUGUGGGGUGGAAUUAGCUACCAGGGUCCGACAAGUUGCUGUCUCUUCACUGGUAUCAUGGAUUCCAUAUCAUAUCAGCAGAUUUUAAAAGACUGUCUAUUACCCUUUACAGCUAGAAGGUACCCAAACGGCUUCCGU